rnacentral:lncRNA from 1 species
CUAUAUCCAAUCCAAAUAACACUCACUCAAAGACAACAAUCCAAAUUCAGCAAUCAACUAGGAAUUCAAACCCAAUAAGUUUAUACAAAGCUUAGCAAUUGGUUCCUCAAAACAUGCUUGUCAUUAAUCGACCUUGUAAACUUAAAAUGGUCAAGAAGUCAUUAACACUAAUGAACAAUUACCAGAACAGUCCAGACCCUUUUCUAGUUGCAUUCAAUUUCAAAGGUCAAGCAUGGUAUUGCUGGCAUCAAACAAAAACUAACACCCAAUUCCAUUAACACCCAUUCAG